rnacentral:lncRNA from 1 species
AUUGAACGAUUCUAAAAUAGUUGUGGAGAAUUUUGAUAGUUAUCCUUCUAUGAAAUCUUAAUUUAUUAUGCUCAUUCAUCUCAAAACCUACUUGCUCAUGAAUUACACAUUUUUUUUUGAUAAAAAGUAAUUAUGCAUAACUUUUGCUGAGCCUAUGACGCCUUUACUGGCUUAAGCCACAAGAAGGACGAAGGAAUAGUAACAUAUGUUUUUAUAGUAUCUUGUUCUUAUAUAGCUCCAAAUUCUCCUUGGAGGUGAAUGUGCAAAAUUUGGGUAUCAAAGAGAGAACUCU